rnacentral:lncRNA from 1 species
ACCAGCACAGAGGUUUCCUCUCAGGGGAAGCUCAAUAUUCAACUACAUUACAAAGCGUUGUUAACAAUGACUCUAGUCCAAGGGAAAGAAGAGUGAUAUCCCUCAGUCAACAGGGUUGAAAUUCUGGCCUUGCUGAAAUUGAUGACAAAACUAUUAACAUCCAUGGGGCCAGAAUGUAACUUGAAGAAUCUUUCUCAAACCAGAAAAGUCCUUCUAUGUUCAAGAAACUUUUAGACUGUGACCAGCUAUGUGGCAGACUUCUGUUAACUCUGGGGUGAUUUACAGCAACAAAAAUGUCUGCAAGAUGCGCUUUGCUGAAGCGUGCAGCAGGAGUGCUCAGCAUGCAGGAGUGCCAUUCAUUGUAGUCAGACACACUCUUUGAAAUCAUAUGCUCCCAGCAGAUUAGUAAGAGUUUUAAUCUCAAAAGACAAAUCUGCCCCACCAUUGAAUUCAUGGAGAGCUGCAUUCCUCACGCAUGAGUAUAUGAAAACCUUGUUGUCCCGGCUGCACUGCUAAGGACUUCACAGGGCAAUGUGUGUGUCCUCCUCACAAAGACAUUGUGCCAAACCAGAGCUUUCAUUUUUUCUCAAUUCAGAAUAAAAUUAUCAGGGUUUUGGUCCUGCACAGGCACACUUGUCCAGCAAGAGUAGACAAGAACCAGAAAUUUUUAGGAGCAGAAAGUGGCAACGGCAGAUAAUCACUGUUGAGAUAAAAAUUCUCAGCAACGCUCAACUCGCAGGAGAAUAAACUGGAAGU